rnacentral:snRNA from 1 species
CACACAAUUGGAAUGACACAGAGAAGAUUGACCUCAUCCCUGAGCAAGGAUGACAUGCAAAUUCAUAAAGUGUCCCAUAUUUUA